rnacentral:lncRNA from 1 species
GGGUUCCAUUCAUAUCUGCUGUGAUUCAUAGUUUGAACUGACAGCCUGGGAAGCAACUACUCUCUAAGGCUGCUCUGACUUACACUGGGAGCAAGGUAGACCCUGGCAGCUGAAUCCAGGAGGUCCACAGAUAGCACAGAGGGCAGUGGUAUAAAUAAAAGAUCCUCAAAUGCUGCCAAGGUGUGCAAGGAUUUUAAGCCACGUUGGUAUCUUCUGUCUUCUCCAGGGAGUUAUCUGGCUAUUGGAAGAAGCAUAAAUCAGAGCAAUCUACAGACUAUUCUGUUUUGUGCCAACUGCUAUCAGCAUGCUGUCCCAGUAAUCAGCAGUUGUUAUAAGCGUAAAGAGAUUCCAUCCUCGUACUAUUUUGCCUAGCUGUAUGUGUUACACCAACAACAGGAAAAAAAAAGUCGGAGGAGUAUCUUCAUAUCAUGUUAGACUUCCCCUGCAUGAUAAAAAUCUGCAAAUAGUCAUCUAAGGCAUUCUUUUUGAAAUGGAGAAAAUAGGCCUGGAAGGAAUCUCAAAGUCUAGUCAACAUCCAUGUUCAGAGUCAGGACCAGCUAUGUAUGGACUGCUAUUUGCUACAUCCUGGCAAGACUGGAGGGU